rnacentral:rRNA from 1 species
UACGUAGGGUGCAAGCGUUGUCCGGAAUUAUUGGGCGUAAAGAGCUCGUAGGCGGUUUGUCGCGUCUGCUGUGAAAACUCGGGGCUUAACCCCGGGCCUGCAGUGGGUACGGGCAGACUAGAGUGCGGUAGGGGAGACUGGAAUUCCUGGUGUAGCGGUGAAAUGCGCAGAUAUCAGGAGGAACACCGGUGGCGAAGGCGGCUUCCUGGACCUGUUCUGACGCUGAGGAGCGAAAGCGUGGGGAGCGAUCCGG